UACGUAGGGGGCAAGCGUUGUCCGGAAUCAUUGGGCGUAAAGCGCGUGUAGGCGGCCAGAUAAGUCCGCUGUGAAAUCUCGAGGCUCAACUUCGAGCUGUCGGUGGAAACUGUCUGGCUAGAGUCCGGAAGAGGAGAAUGGAAUUCCUGGUGUAGCGGUGAAAUGCGCAGAUAUCAGGAAGAACACCUAUGGCGAAGGCAGCUCUCUGGGACGGUACUGACGCUGAGACGCGAAAGCGUGGGGAGCGAACAGG
rnacentral:rRNA from 1 species